rnacentral:rRNA from 1 species
CCCAUGACAUGAAAUCUCCGAAUGUGUGACUAAGGGUGGUGCAGGUGUGAGCCAUCUUGCAAGAGGGGAGGGCGUGCAUCAACAAGGGUGAGAAUCCUGUGUGUUGCUUGCAGACUUCUGUGUACAGUGCCCAUUUUCAGAAUCAUGCUCUUUGGAACUGGAGUGCAAAGUGGGUGGUAGCUCCCACUCAAAGUCGAACAUGACAUUGGGACUGACAGGGGAGAAGUACCGUGAGGGAAGCGUGAAAAGGACUUUGGAAAGAGAUUUAAAAGAGCCUGCACUUGCUGAGUGCCAAGCACACAGGAUGGCAGAGGUGGGAGAGAUUGCUGCGUGCGUGUGCAAUUCUGGCUGUCACCAGACAGGAGCUUGCCAUGCAUGCUUGUGCUGCAUGUGGAGAUUCUUUUCU